UUUAAACUUAAUGAGUUAAAUCUUUUAAGUUUCGUAGCAUUGAAUUCGUUGUACAUUUGAAAUCAUGGGUUCAAAAUAUAAUAUUUGUUGAAGUACUAAUUUACCACAUAUGGUUUGCUUAUAUGCAUAACUCUAGGUAAAAGGAGGAGGUUGAAGUUAGAGGCGGAUCUAAAAUUUAGAUUUAAUGAGUUAAACCUUUUAAGUUUCACAGCAUUGAAUUCAUUGCACUUUUAACAUUAUGGGUUCAUAGUUUAAUGUUUGUUGAAAUUGUACUGAUUUACAACAUAUAGUUUGCUUAUCUACACAACUCUAGAUAAAAAAGGAGGUUGCGAGUAGAAGUGGAUCCAAAAUUUAGAUUUGAAGAGUUAAACCUUUUGAGUUUCGUAGCAUUGAAUUCAUUGCACUUUCGAAAUUAUGGCUCAAAAUUUAACAUUUGUUGAAAUUUUACUAAUUACUAUGUUCAGUUUGAAGUAGGUUGAUGGUCAGUGUUAAAAUAGUCAAACCGUGUUGAUUUCUGUAAUACAAAGGUAUAAAGUAUUCGUAGCAUAGACCCAAGUUAGUUUGGGAUUGAUAAGUUGUUUAGCUGAGUAGAUAGUAAAUGAAUUUGUAACUAGUUAAUGGAUGAUGGGCCUUUGUUAUUUUAGGUAAAUACUCUUUGAAUUCAACUACUUUUAGAGUUUUAGUUUUAUCUUUGAUUGUUUGAUUCUAGUUUUCUUUCCUUUGAUUGAGAGAAAUAUAAAUCUGUAAUCUAUCUAUUAGGUGAAUACUUGAAUAAUUGCAAAAUAAACUACGGUAUACACUUGAUUAUAUAAAUGAGUUCAAAAACUUGAAUAUCCUAAUGUAGUUUCUUGUGACAUUUGUCUCACUUUCUUUUCAAGUCCUUUUCAAGCUAUGAUUUGUAACUAUUUACUCACUAUGUUACCUUUGUGCACUUUCUUUUUUUGGGGGAAGUGUAUGAUAGGUAGGAAAAACUCUCAGUGAAAGAAGAUGGAAUGCUGCAUUCUCUCAAGAGGGCUACUUGGACAUAGCAGGUGUUCUUAGACGAAUCCAUCGAGGGGGGAUUCAUCCAUCAAUAAAAGGGGCUGUCUGGGAGUUCUUGCUGGGUUGUUUUGAUCCCAAUAGCACCUUUGAGGAAAGAAAUGAGCUUAGACAACGACGAAGAGAGCAGUAUGCUGCAUGGAAAUCUGAAUGCCAAAAGAUUGUACCUGUGAUUGGCAGUGGGAAAUUUACCACAAAUGCUAUAGUCACUGAUGAUGGUCAACCUACAGAGCAUGCGGACACUUCCAGUGAUGCACAAGAUACUAACAGUGCCCUCCCAGUCGCUAAUGGCGUUUGUGACAAGAGAGUUAUUCAGUGGAAGCUUAACUUGUCUCAAAUUGGUCUGGAUGUUGUUCGCACAGAUCGUGCUCUUGUAUUUUAUGAGAAUCAAGCUAAUCAGGCAAAACUCUGGGACGUGCUUGCU